UACGAAGGGGGCUAGCGUUGUUCGGAAUUACUGGGCGUAAAGGGCGCGUAGGCGGGAUGGCAAGUCGGUCGUGAAAUCCCUCGGCUCAACCGAGGAACGUCGAUCGAUACUGCUGUUCUUGAGGAUUGCAGAGGAGACUGGAAUUCCCGGUGUAGCGGUGAAAUGUGUAGAGAUCGGGAGGAACACCGGUGGCGAAGGCGGGUCUCUGGGCAAUUCCUGACGCUGAGGCGCGAAAGCGUGGGGAGCAAACGGG
rnacentral:rRNA from 1 species